UGGCGGCGAACGGGACCUCCAGGGCGCCGGCGAGGAGCGGCGCGGACCCGUUGCCCAGCAGAUGAAGAAACUGAAAAGUUGAAGAGGCUUCCUAAGGCCACAGGGUAAGGUUGAAUUUCACACAAACUUUUUCUACAAGAUUUUGGAUGCUCACUAACGGUGUCCAGAUGACUCCGUGACGUGGACCCUCUUUGAAGUGACUCUGUCUCUCAUUGUGUCCACUUUGGUCCCACCUUGGGGUCAGUUUCAUUUGUCCUCACACCUUUGGGAUGGUUGGAUCCAACUUUGGGACUGAUUUAUCCUCCCCUUGGGAUGGUUUCACCCUUUCUGAAAUAUACUUCCCUUGGUACCCCUUCUAUAUAUAUCCAUAAAAGUAACCUAUCAUAAGAAUAUCUGCUUUAAUAUUGUUGAUAAGUUUCUUCGCUAAUAAGUUGAUUAUAACCUGUAAUGUACCGACUUGGUUGCUGUUAUUAUAUUGGUUGUUGCUAUAGGAUUGCUUGUUGCUGUAAUUGAUCACUGUCGUGUUAUUGAUUGACAUUAAUUAAUCAUUGAUUGCUGACAGUAAUUUGUAAUAGCUUGAUAUAUUUAUAUAUAUUUACUUUAUUGAUCUAAGGUAUACUUUCUAGUGGUGAUUUCUGUGGAUUUGUGAUAAUCUGCAAUAAAGUAGAGAAAUUUAGAGGAUAAAA